rnacentral:rRNA from 1 species
GACGAACGCUGGCGGCGUGCCUAAUACAUGCAAGUAGAACGCACAGGAUGCACCGUAGUUUACUACACCGUAUUCUGUGAGUUGCGAACGGGUGAGUAACGCGUAGGUAACCUGCCUGGUAGCGGGGGAUAACUAUUGGAAACGAUAGCUAAUACCGCAUAAGAACAUUUACUGCAUGGUAGAUGUUUAAAAGGUGCAAAUGCAUCACUACCAGAUGGACCUGCGUUGUAUUAGCUAGUAGGUGAGGUAACGGCUCACCUAGGCGACGAUACAUAGCCGACCUGAGAGGGUGAUCGGCCACACUGGGACUGAGACACGGCCCAGACUCCUACGGGAGGCAGCAGUAGGGGAAUCUUUCGGCAAAUGGGGGGGAAACCCCUGACCCGAGCAAACGCCCGCGUGAAGUGAAAGAAAGGUUUUUCGGAUUCGUAAAAGCU